rnacentral:rRNA from 1 species
AUGCCGAGGCUGGAGUACCCCGCUCCCCCACCUUCUCCCGCAGGCAUGGGAGCUCAUGGACUCCGAGACGCAUGGACCCGGCGUCCUCCUCCUCGUCCGGCUGCUCGUCCGGCUCUCCCUCCCUCCUCCCCGUCAAGCCGGAGCCCCAGGACGCGCCGAUCAGCCGGCGCACCCGCAGUUGCGGCGUCCGCAUUGCCGAGUCCUCCCCCACCUCUGCCCGGCUCGUCAGGCCGAAGGUGGAGCCCGGCCUCCCCGCGGAGUACGAGGCCAUAG